ACCCCUCAGGGCUACCCUCACCUCUUCACCAUUGACCGCUAGGAGGUCGUAGGGCCCAGGGAGCCACUAUGGGGUGGGAUGCUUGGUACUCACAUACUCUGUCCCCACAGGUCACUACUGCCCAGGAGGGACAUCCUCUGCCCUUCCCUGCCCAGAGGGUACCCUAAACCCACAAGAAGGCGCUCUCUCCCCUGGGGCCUGCCAGCCCUGUCCUGCAGGGAGAUACUGCCCCGGGGAGGGCAGCAGGCAGGCUGAGGGUGGUGCCUCUGAGCGAAGCUGUGGGCCCUGUCCAGCUGGCUCAUUCUGCCCUGGCCUGGGCCUAAGCUCUCCUAUCAGCUCCUGUGUGGUUGGCCUGGAAUGCUCCUGGGACCUCAGGACCUCCAGCCCCAUGGCUUUCCUCUGCCCUCAGGGUCACUUCUGCCAACCAGGGUCUGCUUGGCCUGCCCCGUGCCACCAAGGGGAGUACCAGCCCUCCCUAGGCUCAGACACCUGCCUCUCGUGUCCACCCGGCUUUCACUGCCCACAUCCUGGCACCAGAAUGCCCAGGCUUUGUCCUGCACACGCCUACUGCCCAAAUGGAACGUGGUCCCCUCCUCCAUGUCCUCCAGGAACCUUCACUCCUCAAGAUGUGUCAGGCCUCCGGGAAGAGGCUGACUGUUCUGUCUGUCGCCCUGGUGACUACUGCAGAGGUGGACAGCUAUGGGGGAAAUGUCCUGCUGGUUAUUUCUGUCCUCCUGGGACCUCUGGACUGCCGACACAAGGUCCCAAGGAGUCUCAGCCCUCAUGUCCCCGGGGACAGCUGUGCGCCAAGCAGUGCCCACCAGGUAACAACCCCUGUGUUUUGUCCCUGGAGUAGGAAAGAGGCAGAGAGCAAGGUUGCUCAGCUGUCACCACAGCACCCACCUGGGCCAAGGAUUCUUCUUUUUCUUCUUCUUUUUUUUAAAUCAAAAACAGACUCUAAAAAUAGUUGAUGCCCACACCUGACUGGCUCAGUGGGUAGAGCAUGUGACUCUUGAUUUCAGGAUCAUGAGUCCAAGCCCCAUGUUCAUCAUAGAACUUACUUUAAAAAAAUCAUAAAAAAUUGUUGAGCCCCAGUGCUGUACCUCGAACAUUAUCUGCAU
rnacentral:lncRNA from 12 species